rnacentral:rRNA from 1 species
UACGGAAGGGGCUAGCGUUGUUCGGAAUUACUGGGCGUAAAGCGCGCGCAGGCGGAUUUCCAAGUUGGGGGUGAAAUCCCGGGGCUCAACUUCGGAAUUGCCCUUGAUACUGUCUAUCUCGAGUCCGGGAGAGGUGAGUGGAAUUCCUAGUGUAGAGGUGAAAUUCGUAGAUAUUAGGAAGAACACCAGUGGCGAAGGCGGCUCACUGGCCCGGUACUGACGCUCAUGUGCGAAAGCGUGGGGAGCAAACAGG